GGAAGGAUCAUUAUCGUACAAAAUGUGAGACGCAUGCGAGGGCUGUCUGCUGACCCAGAGUCGUGCACGCCCAAGUGUGUUCUCUCACAUAAUCAAUCCAUCUCACCCUUUUGUGCAUCACCGCGUGAGCACCCUUCGGGAUCGCCUCGGAGGGGGCUCGCGUUUUCACACAAACCCCCCUUUCAAAAGUGUAGAAUGACCUCAUUUAUGCGCUAACCCGCAAUCAAUACAACUUUCAACAACGGAUCUCUUGGCUCUCGCAUCGAUGAAGAACGCAGCGAAAUGCGAUACGUAAUGUGAAUUGCAGAAUUCAGUGAAUCAUCGAAUCUUUGAACGCACCUUGCGCCCCUUGGUAUUCCGAGGGGCACACCCGUUUGAGUGUCGUGAAAACCUCAACCUCCUUGGUUUCUUCUGGAGACCAAAGCAGGCUUGGACUUUGGAGGCCUUUGCUG
rnacentral:misc_RNA from 1 species